rnacentral:rRNA from 1 species
GACAGAGGGUGCAAACGUUGUUCGGAAUUACUGGGCGUAAAGCGCGUGUAGGCGGCCCUGCAAGUCGGGUGUGAAAUCCCACGGCUCAACCGUGGAAGUGCACUCGAAACUGCAGGGCUAGAGUCCUGGAGAGGAAGGUGGAAUGCUUGGUGUAGAGGUGAAAUUCGUAGAUAUCAAGCGGAACACCGGUGGCGAAGGCGGCCUUCUGGGACAGUGACUGGACGCUGAGACGCGAAAGCGUGGGGAGCAAACAGGG